rnacentral:lncRNA from 1 species
UUCUUCAUAGGGUUUUGGGAAGACUGAGGCAAUCGUUGCUGAAGUCAAUGUUGUAAUGGUGAAUCGGGAUUUUUAAUGAAGUGGGUUUGAUUACUCUUGACUGUUUUGUGAAAUCGAGUUACGUCUGUGAUUGAAGAAUUAAAAGGGUGUCUAUAGGAUUGAGUAUGCGGAGUGAAUAAAAUUUAUUGGGUUAAUCUAACAAGACAG